rnacentral:rRNA from 1 species
CCUACGGGAGGCAGCAGUGGGGGAUAUUGCACCAUGGGGGAAACCCUGAUGCAGCGACGCCGCGUGGGUGAAGAAGCGCCUCGGCGCGUAAAGCCCUGUCAGCAGGGAAGAAAAGGACGGUACCUGAAGAAGAAGCCCCGGCUAACUACGGGCCAGCAGCCGCGGUAAUACGUAGGGGGCAAGCGUUAUCCGGAUUUACUGGGUGUAAAGGGGGCGCAGACGGCGAUGCAAGCCAGGAGUGAAAGCCCGGGGCCCAACCCCGGGACUGCUCUUGGAACUGCGUGGCUAGAGUGCAGGAGGGGCAGGCGGAAUUCCUGGUGUAGCGGUGAAAUGCGUAGAUAUCAGGAGGAACACCGGUGGCGAAGGCGGCCUGCUGGACUACAACUGACGUUGAGGCCCGAAAGCGUGGGGAGCAAACAGGAUUAGAUACCCCAGUAGUC